rfam:Clostridium saccharobutylicum DSM 13864, complete genome.
AGGGUAGUAUCAAUAGAACUAUACCAGACAUUUUAGCAUAAAUUAUUUAAUACAACUCAUAUCUAUAUGAAUGAGAUUGAAAU